rnacentral:rRNA from 1 species
AGAGUUUGAUCAUGGCUCAGAAUCAACGCUGGCGGCGCGCCUAACACAUGCAAGUCGAACGAGAAAGCAGGAGCAAUCUUGUGAGUAAAGUGGCGUACGGGUGAGUAACACGUGGAUUAUCUACCCUCUUGUGGGGGAUAACCCUGGGAAACCGGGGCUAAUACCGCAUAAGCUCGAGAGAGGAAAGCAGCAAUGCGCAGGAGGAGGAGUCCGCGGCCGAUUAGCUAGUUGGUAGGGUAAAAGCCUACCAAGGCAACGAUCGGUAGCCGGCCUGAGAGGGCACACGGCCACACUGGCACUGAAACACGGGCCAGACUCCUACGGGAGGCAGCAGUGGGGAAUCUUGCACAAUGGGGGCAACCCUGAUGCAGCGACGCCGCGUGAGCGAUGAAGCCCUUCGGGGUGUAAAGCUCUUUCGGCAGGGAAGAUUAUGACGGUACCUGCAGAAGC